rnacentral:lncRNA from 1 species
CUAGACAGGACUCACUAGACAGGACUCUCUAGACAGGACUCACUAGACAGGACUCACUAGACAGGACUCUCUAGACAGGACUCUCUAGACAGGACUCACUAGACAGGAGUCUUUAGACAGGGCUCCCCUAGACAGGACUCACUAGACAGGACUCUCUAGACAGGACUCUCUAGACAGGAGUCUUUAGACAGGGCUCCCUAGACAGGACUCACUAGACAGGACUCUCUAGACAGGAUUUCCUAUGGUGAUGUUAGAUGUUAAACAGCAGACCCAGUUGAGAUGGUAUGGAUCGUAUGUCUUCAGCUAACCUAACAUAGCAGGUGUGAGGCGCUGGUUCUUUCUGUUGUGGGAGGUUCUCUUCUGCACUGUUCAACCAAUCCAGUAAAUGUGGAGGAGGAGUUAAGAUGGAGUGUCGCCUUGUUGACGUCCGAAAGCGGAAGCCGCAUCACAGGCUCUUUCCAUUUCCCAUGAAAACCAGGUGUAGUUAGCUAAUGGAUCUCCCCUGAUUUAGAGCUGUGAUGAGAGCGUAUGGAGGUCACAAACCCACCGUUUACAGGGGAGUAUGGCCUGGAGACACAGAGGGGAUAUUUACACCCAGCAUGACUUCCUAUAGGAAGUGACAUCAUCUCAGUCAGGUCCACAGGCUGGUUCCCCCUCUUUCCUUCUCAUCUAUCUUUACGUCUUUCUUUCUUUCAAUCAGCAUGGACAUGAAAGACAGCAGGGGGGUGAUGUCACUCAGACAGUGUGGGUGGGUGAUGUUCUAGUGAUGACUCGUAGUGAGCAGAUCACUGUUUUAUGUGGCUUAAUUAUAACCAUCUCCUCUCUCUAUCCCUCUCUCCCCUCUAUCUCUCCCAUUCCCCCUCUCUCUCUAUCCCUCUCUCCCCUCUAUCUCUCCCAUUCCUCCUCUCUCUAUCCCUCUCUUCCCCUCUCUCUCCCAUUCCCCCUCUCUCUCUAUCCCUCUCUCCCCUCUAUCUCUCCCAUUCCCCCUCUCUCUAUCCCUCUCUUCCCCUCUCUCUCCCAUUCCCCCUCUCUCUAUCCCUCUCUCUCCCCCAUUCCCCCUCUCUCUAUCCCUCUCUUCCCCUCUCUCUCCCAUUCCCCUCUCUCUCUAUCCCUCUCUCUCCCAUCCCCUCUCUAUCUCCCAUUCCCUCUCUCUCUAUCCCUCUCUUCCUUCUAUCUCUCCCAUCCCCUCUCUCUCUCUAUCCCUUUC